CUUCGCCCCUUUGGGGCUCUGGCCCUAACAAUAGGGUCCUCGCCCUUAGGUGAGCCCAAAAGUCCUCUGCCUCUUGGGCUUGGUCCCUUAUAAGGAUUUUUUUGAACUGUAAAUCAUGCAAAGAUAUUCUAAUAAAGCCCCAGAGUAAAAAUAUAGAAAUGGAAAUGUGCAUGAUAUGUCCUUUUUAAAUCAUUAAACUCACUGUCACAUAAGGCAUUUGGGGGCUGUCUAUCUGCCUGUGCCCUAUGUGCUAGGGCACAGUACAUCAUAGAGUGGCUCACCCAGAUUCCUCUGCCCUCGGUGAAUAUGGGGAAUGUCCAGUUCCUGAGGAACAAAGUGGAUGAACUUUGGGGAAAUGUUCAUUUUCAGAGGGACUUCAGAGACUGCUGCGUCAUGGCUUCCACUGAGACAUGGUUCACUGAGCACAACCAGGACAUCAACCUGUUUAUCAAUGAUUCUGGAGCUCCAUUUCAUCUGGACUGAAAGGCUGAAGUGACGAGGAAAACACAAGGUGGUGGGUGUCUUUGCACUCACUGCCAGCCAAGAAGCCUCCAUCUGAUUCUGCUGCUUGUGUUCUCACAUCCUACAGUUACUGUACACAAAAACAGACCUAUUCUCUUGAUGCUGGGGUGGUGCUGAAGAUUUGCCAAGAUCCAGACCCUGCCAUGAAAUCCACCAUUGCAAUACUAUCAGACAAGGGAUGUGAGAAUAUGAAGUAUGCUGAAGUCAUGAUCCAAACAAGAUGAUCCAAACUUCUUAAGCCAAAGCCAGAAGCUGGUUUGUUCUGCUUCUUCGCCCAGCUCCCUGAACAUAUUCUUUAGCUUGACUCUCCCAAAGUCUUCAGGAGAAGUUGUGAAGAUUUUCCAGUGAAGCCUCUGCUGCUUACCGCCACAGGGAAUGUGAUUGCUGUCCUGCUUCCCUGCACU